UACAGAGGGGGCAAGCGUUAUUCGGAAUUAUUGGGCGUAAAGGGCGCGUAGGCGGCCAUUCAAGUGACGGGUGAAAGCCCUCGGCUUAACCGAGGAACUGCCUGUCAGACUGGAUGGCUUGAGACCGGGAGAGGUGAGUGGAAUUCCCAGUGUAGCGGUGAAAUGCGUAGAUAUUGGGAGGAACACCAGUGGCGAAGGCGGCUCACUGGACCGGAACUGACGCUCAGGGGCGAAAGCGUGGGGAGCAAACCGG
rnacentral:rRNA from 1 species